rnacentral:tRNA from 1 species
GCGGACGUGGCUCAGUGGUAGAGCAUCGCCUUGCCAAGGCGAGGGUCGCGGGUUCGAGUCCCGUCGUCCGCU